GAUGAACGCUGGCGGCGUGCUUAACACAUGCAAGUCGAACGGAAAGGCCCAAGCUUGCUUGGGUACUCGAGUGGCGAACGGGUGAGUAACACGUGGGUGAUCUGCCCUGCACUUCGGGAUAAGCCUGGGAAACUGGGUCUAAUACCGGAUAGGACGAUGGUUUGGAUGCCAUUGUGGAAAGUUUUUUCGGUGUGGGAUGAGCUCGCGGCCUAUCAGCUUGUUGGUGGGGUAAUGGCCUACCAAGGCGUCGACGGGUAGCCGGCCUGAGAGGGUGUACGGCCACAUUGGGACUGAGAUACGGCCCAGACUCCUACGGGAGGCAGCAAUGGGGAAUAUUGCACAAUGGGCGCAGGCCUGAUGCAGCGACGCCGCGUGGGGGAUGACGGCCUUCGGGUUGUAAACUCCUUUCGCUAGGGACGAAGCGUUUUUGUGACGGUACCUGGAGAAGAAGCACCGGCUAACUACGUG
rnacentral:rRNA from 1 species